rnacentral:rRNA from 1 species
GAAUAUUGGACAAUGGGCGAAAGCCUGAUCCAGCAAUGCCGCGUGAGUGAUGAAGGCCUUAGGGUUGUAAAGCUCUUUUACCCGGGAUGAUAAUGACAGUACCGGGAGAAUAAGCCCCGGCUAACUCCGUGCCAGCAGCCGCGGUAAUACGGAGGGGGCUAGCGUUGUUCGGAAUUACUGGGCGUAAAGCGCACGUAGGCGGCUUUGCAAGUUAGAGGUGAAAGCCCGGGGCUCAACCCUGGAACUGCCUUCUAGACUGCAAGCCUGGAGGUCAGGAGAGGCGAGUGGAAUUCCGAGUGUAGAGGUGAAAUUCGUAGAUAUUCGGAGGAACACCAGUGGCGAAGGCGACUCGCUGGACUGAUACUGACGCUGAGGUGCGAAAGCGUGGGGAGCAAAC